UGGCGAACGGGUGAGUAAUGCGUGAGCAACCUGCCUUUCAGAGGGGGACAACAGCUGGAAACGGCUGCUAAUACCGCAUAACACAUCGGGAUGGCAUCAUCCUGAUGUCAAAGGAGCAAUCCGCUGAGAGAUGGGCUCACGUCUGAUUAGCUGGUUGGUGAGGUAACGGCUCACCAAGGCGACGAUCAGUAGCCGGUCUGAGAGGAUGAACGGCCACAUUGGGACUGAGAUACGGCCCAGACUCC
rnacentral:rRNA from 1 species